GCCUGAGUGGCUCAGUCAGUUAAGUGUCUGACUUCGGCUCAGGUCAUGAUCUCACGGUUCGUGGGUUCGAGCCCCGCAUCAGGCU
rnacentral:tRNA from 1 species